CCUACGGGAGGCAGCAGUGGGGAAUAUUGCACAAUGGGCGAAAGCCUGAUGCAGCGACGCCGCGUGAGGGAUGGCGGCCUUCGGGUUGUAAACCUCUUUCAGCAGGGAAGAAGCGAAAGUGACGGUACCUGCAGAAGAAGCGCCGGCUAACUACGUGCCAGCAGCCGCGGUAAUACGUAGGGCGCAAGCGUUGUCCGGAAUUAUUGGGCGUAAAGAGCUCGUAGGCGGCUUGUCACGUCGGGUGUGAAAGCCCGGGGCUUAACCCCGGGUCUGCAUUCGAUACGGGCUAGCUAGAGUGUGGUAGGGGAGAUCGGAAUUCCUGGUGUAGCGGUGAAAUGCGCAGAUAUCAGGAGGAACACCGGUGGCGAAGGCGGAUCUCUGGGCCAUUACUGACGCUGAGGAGCGAAAGCGUGGGGAGCGAACAGGAUUAGAUACCCUGGUAGUCCACGCCGUAAACGGUGGGAACUAGGUGUUGGCGACAUUCCACGUCGUCGGUGCNGCAGCUAACGCAUUAAGUUCCCCGCCUGGGGAGUACGGGCGCANGGCUAAAACUCAAAGGAAUUGACGG
rnacentral:rRNA from 1 species